UACGGAGGGUGCAAGCGUUAUCCGGAUUUACUGGGUUUAAAGGGUGUGUAGGCGGACUAUUAAGUCAGUGGUGAAAUCCCGAGGCUCAACCUCGGAACUGCCUUUGAUACUAUUAGUCUUGAAUGUUGUUGAGGUGGGCGGAACGGGUCAUGUAGCGGUGAAAUGCAUAGAUAUGACCCGGAACACCGAUUGCGAAGGCAGCCCGCUAAGCAACUAUUGACGCUGAGGCACGAAAGCGUGGGGAU
rnacentral:rRNA from 1 species